rfam:Colius striatus contig78159, whole genome shotgun sequence.
UGCCUCGUUAUUCAGGAAAUGGACACAACUGACUGUGUGUCUGAAUUGAAAAACGUGGCUAGAAGAGUAACAGGUUAUGCUUUCCCCACUGCACACUUCAUUGCAGUGGUGACAAUGAGACCUGUGACAGAU